GAUGAACGCUGGCGGCGUGCCUAAUACAUGCAAGUAGAACGCUGAAGGAGGAGCUUGCUCUUCUGGAUGAGUUGCGAACGGGUGAGUAACGCGUAGGUAACCUGCCUGGUAGCGGGGGAUAACUAUUGGUAACGAUAGCUAAUACCGCAUGACAACAGUUAUUGCAUGAUAACUGUUUAAAAGGGGCAACUGCUCCACUACCAGAUGGACCUGCGUUGUAUUAGCUAGUUGGUGAGGUAACGGCUCACCAAGGCGACGAUCCAUAGCCGACCUGAGAGGGUGAGCGGCCACACUGGGACUGAGACACGGCCCAGACUCCUACGGGAGGCAGCAGUAGGGAAUCUUCGGCAAUGGACGGAAGUCUGACCGAGCAACGCCGCGUGAGUGAAGAAGGGUUUCGGAUCGUAAAGCUCUGUUGUAAGAGAAGAACGAGUGUGAGAGUGGAAAGUUCACACUGUGACGGUAUCUUACCAGAAAGGGACGGCUAACUACGUG
rnacentral:rRNA from 1 species